GACGAACGCUGGCGGCGUGCUUAACACAUGCAAGUCGAGCGGUAAGGCCCUUUCGGGGGUACACGAGCGGCGAACGGGUUGAGUAACACGUGGGUGACCUGCCCUCAGCUCUGGGAUAAGCCUGGGAAACCGGGUCUAAUACUGGAUAUGACUCCAUGACGCAUGUUGUGGGGUGGAAAGCCUUGUGCGGCUGAGGAUGGGCCCGCGGCCUAUCAGCCUGUUGGUGGGGUGANGGCCUACCAAGGCGACGACGGGUAGCCGGCCUGAGAGGGCGACCGGCCACACUGGGACUGAGACACGGCCCAGACUCCUACGGGAGGCAGCAGUGGGGAAUCUUGCGCAAUGGGCGAAAGCCUGACGCAGCGACGCCGCGUGAGGGAUGACGGCCU
rnacentral:rRNA from 1 species